rnacentral:misc_RNA from 1 species
GAUGAAGAACGCAGCGAAAUGCGAUAAGUAAUGUGAAUUGCAGAAUUCAGUGAAUCAUCGAAUCUUUGAACGCACCUUGCGCUCCUUGGUAUUCCGAGGAGCAUGCCUGUUUGAGUGUCAUGAAAUUCUCAACCUUUUCAGCUUUCUUUGUUGAUCAGGCUUGGAUGUGGGAGUAUGCGGGCUUCUCAGAAGUCGGCUCUCCUGAAAUGCAUUAGCGGGACCUUUGUUGCCUGGCUUUGGUGUGAUAAUUAUCUACGCCAUUGUAGUCAAGCAGCUUAAAAUGAGGUUUCAGAUUCUAACCGUCUCCCCUGAGACAACUUUUUGACAAUUUGACCUCAAAUCAGGUAGGACUACCCGCUGAACUUAAGCAUAUCAAUAAGCGGAGGA